CCACCUUUGACAUGGCAGGAAGGCUCCAGAGAUGGGGCUGUGCUCGAAAGAGAACCUGCACACAGGUGCUGCAUGGCUGUCGUCAGCUCGUGUCGUGAGAUGUUGGGUUAAGUCCCGCAACGAGCGCAACCCUUGCCAUUAGUUGCUACGAAAGGGCACUCUAAUGGGACUGCCGGUGACAAGCCGGAGGAAGGUGGGGAUGACGUCAAGUCCUCAUGGCCCUUAUAGGUGGGGCUACACACGUCAUACAAUGGCCGGUACAAAGGGUAGCCAAUCCGCGAGGGGGAGCCAAUCCCAUAAAGCCGGUCGUAGUCCGGAUCGCAGUCUGCAACUCGACUGCGUGAAGUCGGAAUCGCUAGUAAUCGUGGAUCAGCAUGUCGCGGUGAAUACGUUCCC
rnacentral:rRNA from 1 species